rnacentral:lncRNA from 1 species
UGUUGCUUGCCAUUGAUAAUGUCAGCAAUCAAUUAAAAAGGGAAAAAUGCUGAAAUUAUGUUGCUAAAUUAAAUACAAAAUGAUUUAAUGUGCUCCAGGACCAAAACAAGUAAUCUUUAGGGUUAUGUUUUCUAUAAGAUAGAAAUUAUUUGCAACAGAAGAAACCAAUAUUAAUUAAAUAAUCACAUGAAUAAAUGUGAAAUUGCUCUUGGAAUAACUGCUAGGAAAAACAGGUGAAUGGUGUAUGACUUUUGGGCUGAUGAAUCAAGCUGCUUAAAUACAUAUUCCCUAAUAAAGGAUGUUGUAAAAUAACUACAUUAGAAGUCAAGGGAUUUGUAUGUUCUUUUAUCCUCAGUUACUGAGUGAGGUUUAAUAAUUUUGUGCAAAAGCUUGUAACACACUCUGGUAUCAUUGCGCUCAUCUCAACUUCUUUCUGUUGCUUAAUUCAGGGCAUGUGAAUAACGGUAAAAAACCAAAGUUGUUUUUGCAACCUCUGGCCACCAAGGGCACUUCC